CUGCCCCCCUCUUCUUGUCUUAGCGGUGGGGCGGCGGGGGCGGCUAGGGUCUCAGUCCUUCCAUUUCGGCUUUCCAGCUUUCCUUAUAGCUCGGGAGCGGCUCCAGCCUUAGAAAUGCCGCCGGCCGGUUGUUCCGGCGUCCCCGCUUUGCUGCGGUGGCCGCCGGGGCUGCUGUUACUGCUGAGCCCGGCUCUAUAGCGGCUUCUCUCGGGGCCUACAUCUGCCCUCCAGCUCGUGCCCCGAGCCCCAUUCGCGGGUUACAUAACCAGGCUCCGGGUCCAGUGGGCAAAGCUCAGCUCAUCACUGGGGUGGGGGCGAAGGAAAUCCCCCAGAUAUCACUUCCAUGGCUUCCAAAGAUUCGGGAGGGGAGUGCUUCGCGUAGGGCGCCUCUGGGCCCUGGAGGUGCUGGCCCCUUUUCUGCUUUUCAGCAUCUUUGGCAUUUGCGCAAAGUUGCUCUUGCAAUGGUGGGGUGCCGUGGACGCGCGGCUCCUGCACCUGUUCAUGGUGGGCCCAGGGUGCGAGGAGACCCCAAGUCCUCUCAGUAAUGUCCCGGGUUCUCUGGUUGGGUCUCCGCAGCGUCCGAUUGACCGCCAGAGAUACGACGAGAACGAGGACUUGUCGGACGUGGAGGAGAUCGUCAGCGUCCGUGGCUUCAGCCUGGAGGAGAAGCUACGCAGCCAGCUGUACCAGGGGGACUUCGUGCAUGCCAUGGAGGGCAAAGAUUUCAACUAUGAGUACGUACAAAGAGAAGCUCUCAGGGUUCCCCUGGUAUUUCGAGAAAAGGACGGACUAGGAAUUAAGAUGCCGGACCCUGAUUUUACAGUUCGAGAUGUCAAACUCCUAGUGGGGAGCCGCCGGUUGGUGGAUGUGAUGGAUGUGAACACCCAGAAGGGCACCGAGAUGAGCAUGUCCCAGUUUGUGCGUUACUAUGAGACACCGGAGGCUCAGCGGGACAAGCUGUACAAUGUCAUCAGCCUCGAGUUCAGCCACACCAAGCUGGAACACCUGGUCAAGCGUCCCACUGUGGUGGACCUGGUGGACUGGGUAGACAACAUGUGGCCCCAGCACUUAAAGGAGAAGCAGACAGAAGCCACAAACGCCAUCGCAGAGAUGAAGUACCCCAAAGUGAAGAAGUACUGUCUGAUGAGUGUGAAAGGUUGUUUCACUGAUUUCCACAUUGACUUUGGAGGCACUUCUGUGUGGUACCAUGUUUUCCGUGGUGGGAAGAUCUUUUGGCUGAUCCCUCCAACCCUGCACAAUUUAGCACUGUAUGAGGAGUGGGUGCUGUCAGGCAAACAGAGCGACAUCUUUCUGGGAGACCGCGUGGAACGAUGCCAGAGAAUUGAGCUGAAACAAGGCUACACAUUUUUCAUUCCUUCCGGUUGGAUCCACGCAGUGUAUACCCCUGUUGAUUCCCUGGUGUUCGGCGGGAACAUCCUGCACAGCUUCAACGUGCCCAUGCAGCUGCGCAUCUACGAGAUUGAGGACAGAACCCGGGUUCAGCCCAAGUUCCGCUACCCUUUCUACUAUGAGAUGUGCUGGUAUGUCUUGGAGAGAUACGUGUACUGUGUGACCCAGCGCUCCUACCUCACUCAGGAAUACCAGAGAGAAUCAAUGCUUAUUGAUGCCCCGAGAAAAGCCAGCAUAGACGGCUUCUCAUCCGAUUCCUGGUUGGAGAUGGAGGAGGAAUCCUGUGAGCAACAGCCCCAGGAGGAGGAGGAGAAGGAAGAGGAGGGGGGUGGUACAGAUAAGACACCCAAACCACCCACCGAUGGCCCUGCCUUACCCACCAGUAUCCCCUCUGAGGAUCAGGAGAACCCAGGAAAGAAGCCCAAAGCCUCUUCCACGAAGUUCCUCAAGAGGACUUUGUCCAACGAGUCGGAAGAAAGCAUUAAGUCCACGGCAAUGCCCGUAGAUUACCCCAAGACGCCCUCAGGCUCCCCUACCACUGAGGUCUCUACCAAGUGGACCCAUCUCACUGAGUUUGAACUGAAGGGUCUGAAAGCCCUGGUAGAGAAACUUGAAUCUCUCCCAGAGAACAAAAAGUGUGUCCCCGAGGGCAUUGAAGACCCCCAGGCCCUGCUGGAGGGUGUGAAGAAUGUACUGAAGGAACAUGCAGAUGACGACCCCAGCCUAGCCAUCACUGGGGUCCCUGUGGUCAGUUGGCCAAAGAAGACUCCAAAGAACCGGGCAGUGGGUCGGCCCAAGGGCAAGCUGGGCCCGGCUUCUGCGGUGAAGUUGGCUGCCAACCGGACAACUGCAGGAGCUCGCAGGCGCCGGACGCGAUGCCGCAAGUGCGAGGCCUGUCUGCGGACCGAGUGCGGAGAGUGCCACUUCUGCAAGGAUAUGAAGAAGUUUGGAGGCCCUGGGCGCAUGAAGCAGAGCUGCAUCAUGCGGCAGUGCAUUGCGCCAGUGCUGCCCCACACUGCUGUGUGCCUUGUGUGUGGAGAGGCAGGGAAGGAGGACACAGUAGAAGAGGAAGAAGGCAAGUUUAACCUCAUGCUUAUGGAGUGUUCCAUCUGCAAUGAGAUCAUCCACCCUGGAUGCCUGAAGAUUAAGGAAUCAGAGGGCGUGGUCAACGACGAACUUCCCAACUGCUGGGAGUGUCCGAAGUGUAACCAUGCCGGCAAGACCGGGAAAGCCUACAAGCAAAAGCGUGGCCCUGGCUUUAAGUAUGCCUCCAACCUGCCCGGAUCCCUGCUCAAGGAGCAGAAGAUGAACCGGGACAACAAGGAAGGGCAGGAGCCUGCCAAACGGAGGAGUGAGUGUGAGGAGGCGCCCCGGCGCAGGUCAGACGAACACCCCAAGAAGGUCCCCCCUGAUGGCAUCCUACGCCGAAAGUCUGACGAUGUGCACCUGAGGAGGAAGCGGAAAUACGAGAAGCCCCAAGAGCUGAGUGGACGAAAGCGAGCCUCGACGCUUCAAACGUCCCCCGGUUCCUCCUCUCACCUCUCGCCGAGGCCCCCUCUAGGCAGCAGUCUCAGCCCUUGGUGGAGAUCCAGUCUCACUUACUUCCAGCAGCAGAUGCUCCUGAGGUGUGGCCCCAAGUCUGCAGUGGGCCUGAGAAGCUCUGUGAGGAGAGCCACGCUAAAACCUGGCAAAGAAGAUAAGCUUUUCAGGAAAAAGCGGAGGUCUUGGAAAAACGCUGAAGACCGACUAGCACUGGCCAACAAGCCCCUUCGGCGCUUCAAGCAGGAACCAGAGGACGAUCUACCUGAAGCACCCCCCAAGACCCGGGAGAGUGACCACUCACGCUCUAGUUCACCCACCGCUGGGCCUAGCACUGAGGGAGCUGAAGGCCCAGAGGAGAAGAAGAAAGUGAAGAUGCGCAGGAAACGGCGGCUUCCUAACAAGGAGCUGAGCAAAGAGCUAAGUAAGGAGCUCAACCAUGAGAUCCAAAAGACAGAGAGCAGCCUGGCCCAUGAAAACCACCAGCCCAUCAAGUCAGAACCUGAGAGUGAGAAUGAGGAACCCAAACGGCCCUUGAGCCACUGUGAGCGACCCCACCGCUUCAGUAAGGGGCUCAACAGCACCCCCCGGGAGCUGCGGCACUCACUGGGGCCUGGCCUGCGCAGCCCACCCCGUGUCAUCUCGCGGCCCCCACCCUCUACAUCCCCACCCAAGUGCAUCCAGAUGGAGCGUCACGUGAUCCGACCACCCCCUAUCAGCCCCCCACCUGACUCGCUGCCCCUGGAUGAUGGGGCAGCCCACGUCAUGCACAGAGAGGUGUGGAUGGCCGUCUUCAGCUACCUCAGCCAUCAAGACCUGUGUGUCUGCAUGCGGGUCUGCAGGACAUGGAACCGCUGGUGCUGUGAUAAGCGGUUGUGGACCCGCAUUGACCUGAACCACUGCAAGUCUAUCACACCCCUGAUGCUGAGUGGGAUCAUACGGCGCCAGCCUGUCUCCCUUGACCUCAGCUGGACCAAUAUCUCCAAGAAGCAGCUGAGUUGGCUCAUCAACCGGUUGCCUGGGCUCCGAGACUUGGUGCUGUCUGGCUGCUCAUGGAUUGCUGUCUCAGCCCUCUGUAGCUCCAGUUGUCCAUUGCUCCGGACCCUGGAUGUCCAGUGGGUAGAAGGACUAAAAGAUGCCCAGAUGCGGGAUCUCCUAUCUCCACCUACAGACAACAGACCAGGUCAGAUGGACAAUCGGAGCAAGCUCCGGAACAUUGUAGAACUGCGCCUAGCUGGUCUGGACAUCACAGAUGCCUCCCUGCGGCUUAUCAUCCGCCACAUGCCCCUACUCUCCAAGCUCCACCUCAGUUACUGUAACCAUGUCACCGACCAAUCUAUCAACUUGCUCACUGCAGUUGGCACCACCACCCGGGACUCUCUGACAGAGAUCAACCUGUCAGGUAAGACUGCAAUAAAGUCACUGAUCAGUGCCUGUCCUUCUUUAAACGCUGUGGAAAUAUCUGUCAUAUUGACCUGAGGUACUGCAAGCAAGUCACCAAGGAAGGCUGCGAGCAGUUCAUAGCUGAAAUGUCUGUCAGUGUCCAGUUUGGGCAGGUGGAAGAAAAACUUCUGCAAAAACUAAGUUAGUCCCAGGACAAACCACAGGACACGGUUCCAUUUUGCAAGUCUUGCCAAGGGAGAAGCUGUUCACCCACCCAUUUGGGGAAGAGUGUAAGCCAGAUAGAUACUUUAUUCUAUUUUGGCCUUUCUGCAUCAUAACUGCACUGCUUUCUGGACCAUUUCUAAGGCGGCCUUUAGAAGACAUUCCAGUUGGAGAGGAGGAUCGGCUUUGGAGACAUCCUCUUAGAAGUCUGAGCUUUUAUCGGUGGUGUUUUUGUUUUGGGCACUUUGUUCCUUGUAAUGCCAAGGCUUCUGGUGUCAACACAGUGGACCAUACACCCCAUCUGCAGCUGUCUUGACACAUUUUGUUUAGUUGGUUUUGUUACAUCUUACAUUAUGCAGAACUAUUUUUGUACAAAUUGUUUAAAAAUUAUUUAUGCAAGAUUUGAAUGCAUACCAGUGUUUUUAUUGUUUUUGAGAUUGCCAACUUUCCUCCAGGUAGGAAAGAAUUUAACUUGUACUUCAUCAACACAAAGCCCAUCAAUACAUGUGCCCAGGUGUGAUGGGGAGGGAGACAACCUUCCACUUAAAAGCAUGUUUUACUGAAUGUUGAGAGCCUACUUUAUAUGUCAAGAAGAUACACAAGCAUGUUGUGGACAAAUGUAAAUUAUAGUCAAAUACACUUUGCCAAGUUUCUUCAAUAGAGUUCACCUUUUCCUCAAAAUUUUACAAUUCAGACUCCAGCUUUUGCACUCAGGAGGGUUUCGCUCCAAGCAUGAGCUCUUGUAUUCUAUAUAGAUCUAAUUUAUACCGUGAGUCAAGUAGAAUAAAUGUCCCCACAGCCUUGCCUUUACUUUUUCUCCCUCCUUUGAAGUGUUAGUUGAGUUCUCACUUAGGUUGGUUACCUGGCUAUUUCCUAGUUGUCAAGUUCUGCAUUCAUAAGUACCAUCGUUUACAGUGGUGUUUCCUAGACCUUCCCUGAUACGGUUUUACCUUUGUUGAAUUUGUAUAAACAAUUAUACAAAAAAAAAAAAAAAAACCAAACAAACAAACAAAAAAACACUCUUGGUGUUUGAGGGUUUUUGUUUUAGGAGUAGACUAAAAAUCAGAUGGGAAAGCCCAGGAUUAAUGGAAGUCUCAAAACUAGUGUACAUUGUGUGGAUGCCAAACAAUGUUUAAUUUCUGUCAUCCAAGCAGCACAGCAGCCCUGUACAACACAUAAUUGCUCCAUUCUACAGAAAGAUCUGUUUCUGGCCUGUAAAGCUAAUGGGGAAAAAAUGCUACAAUGAUGGCUGCUUGUGCAUUAUUAGGGGCAAUGAUUCACCUUUGGGUGAACCAUAUUGGGGGACCUCCUACCACACCUGCACAAAAAUAACUUCCAUUGCCACUUAGCAUUACUCUUUCCUAGAAGUUGCCCAGAUGGGGAGGGCAAACUUGUCCCAGAGAAGACAAUCGGAGGCUGUAUUCUACAGCCUGGGAGCUGAAAGAUUGAGACAAAUUAGAAUUUGGGGUCAUAGAACAUUUUUAGACAGUCCCCAAUUACUUCAUAUUCAUAUAUACAGAUCACUGUUCUAAUGAGUUGGAAGAUGGGGAAAAUAAUCAACUUCCUUUCUCUAAUCAAGACCUUACCCCUAUAAGCCCUUCCUGUUAACCAUCCAGUUUUAAAAGUUAGAUCUCAUUUAAAGCUAUACCUCUGACUUAAAUCCAAAGGCUUUUUCUGAGUCAAACUAGAGACACAGAAAUGAUUGUCUCUGGUGUUUAACUCUGGAGAUCCGUUUAAUAAAAUUAAGAUGUUAACUAGUUUACUUAUAAAAAGGCAGAUUAUUUCUACUGGCCUGAAAGUUUCAUUAUGCAGAAGUAAAGGUUAUUUCUGUGGUAGUUUUAGUUCUCUGGAGGUCAUCCUCAGGGCUGGGGAGAUGGCUCAGCAGUUAAGAGCACUGGCUGCUCUUGCAGGGGACCUUGGUAUAGUUCCCAGCACCCACAUGGCAGCUAACCACCAUCCAUAACUCCAGUUCCGGGGGAUUUGACAUCUUCUUCUGGACUUGCAGACAUUGCGCAACACCAGUGCACUCAUGUACAUGAAGGCAAAACACUCAAUACAAAUAAAAUUGCAAAAAGCCAUCCUCUUCCUCAAAUACUUGCAGGGUGACUUAUUUUCGUGUGAAUAGUCCUAAGAACCUGGGUUCAGCUGGGCGUGGUGGCGC